GGUCCAAAUUUGAAGUAGAGUAGAUCAGUAAAAUCAGCUGACCAUACUUAUCUACUCUACUUCAAGUUUGUGCCC
rfam:Haemonchus placei strain MHpl1 genome assembly, scaffold: HPLM_scaffold0002509